rnacentral:rRNA from 1 species
CCUACGGGAGGCAGCAGUAGGGAAUCUUCCACAAUGGGCGAAAGCCUGAUGGAGCAACGCCGCGUGAGUGAUGAAGGCCUUCGGGUUGUAAAACUCUGUCAUUCGGGACGAACCGGAGUCUGAGGAAAUGCAGACUCUCUGACGGUACCGGAGGAGGAAGCCCCGGCUAACUACGUGCCAGCAGCCGCGGUAAUACGUAGGGGGCAAGCGUUGUCCGGAUUCACUGGGCGUAAAGCGCGCGCAGGCGGUGAUGUAAGUCUGAGGUGAAAACCCGAAGCUCAACUUCGGGACUGCCUUGGAUACUGCGUCACUUGAGGAUAGGAGAGGCAAGGGGAAUUCCACGUGUAGCGGUGAAAUGCGUAGAGAUGUGGAGGAACACCUGUGGCGAAGGCGCCUUGCUGGCCUAUUUCUGACGCUGAGGCGCGAAAGCGUGGGGAGCAAACAGGAUUAGAUACCCUGGUAGUCCACGCUGUAAACGAUGAGUGCUAGGUGUAGGUGGGCUCAUACCCAUCUGUGCCGAAGCUAACGCAUUAAGCACUCCGCCUGGGGAGUACGGUCGCAGACUGAACUCAAGGAAUUGACGG